rnacentral:misc_RNA from 1 species
AACGCACGAGACCUGCGGACCUGCGGAAGGAUCAUUACCGAGUUUACAACUCCCAAACCCAACGUGAACGUUACCAAACUGUUGCCUCGGCGGGAUCUCUGCCCCGGGUGCGUCGCAGCCCCGGACCAAGGCGCCCGCCGGAGGACCAACCAAAACUCUUUUGUAUACCCCCUCGCGGGUUUUUAUAUCUGAGCCAUCUCGGCGCCUCUCGUAGGCGUUUCGAAAAUGAAUCAAAACUUU